CAGUCGCGCGGUAAUACGUAGGUGGCAAGCGUUGUCCGGAAUUAUUGGGCGUAAAGGGCUCGCAGGCGGUUUCUUAAGUCUGAUGUGAAAGCCCCCGGCUCAACCGGGGAGGGUCAUUGGAAACUGGGAAGCUUGAGUGCAGAAGAGGAGAGUGGAAUUCCACGUGUAGCGGUGAAAUGCGUAGAGAUGUGGAGGAACACCAGUGGCGAAGGCGACUCUCUGGUCUGUAACUGACGCUGAGGAGCGAAAGCGUGGGGAGCGAACAGGAUUAGAGACCCCCGUAGUCCCUGUCUCUUAUACA
rnacentral:rRNA from 1 species